GAAAAUAGGAACAAGCAAAGGUCAUUCAACUUUUUGAGCCAAGUUUCCCAUUCCGUUCUAUGUUUCCGUAGGCAAAGUAUGGAAAGACCAAUGUCGAAUCAUGGGUACAAUUCGAAAGGAGCAGUGAGACAUUGAUAAGAUCAUUUUUUUUUGUUUUGGUUGCCUCGGGCCUCCUCCUGAUGUCCUCCAGUGGGAGAGUGGGGCCCUGUGUAUCUCCAUCUCCAUCUCCACUCCAUCUUUGGUGGCGGCAUUGGCAAACGAGCCAGGACCCCAUUGGUCAACUCAGAACCAGGACCCGUUAGUUGAUGUCCAGCGUAAGAGGAGGCUGUGGGACCCGCACAGUGUUACCAUCUCCAGCUCGGAGGCGGUGGAAGUGGAAGCAACGGUGUCAGUGGUGGCAGAAGAGAAACACAUUGCCAGGACCAUGGCGACGAUGUCAGACAGUAGCAAAUGGAGGAGACGAGAAAGUGAAGCAUGUGGACAGGGAAAGAGUGCUAACCUGAUCACUGUGUGAAGGCCCUCAUUUAUUGCAAAAGUAAACCAUACUUCUGAGACAGCAGCCAGAACUGGUAACAGUCCAAAGGACCAAACAUCAGGGCAGAACGCUCCCCAGUCUCCCACUUAACGGUAUCAGUGCAGCACUUGGCCUUGUUUAUUUCAGUUUCAGUCAGCUACAUAAGGCCAGGUUAACCACAGUUUACAUGACCCAGCCACCAGGAUGGCCAGCAACUACCCCUCAAUGACCCCCAUUCUAACACUGGAAGACCAAUCACAGUAGCCAAAUCUCAUCUGUCAUCCUGGUGUUUAUACACAGAUAGCACAUGACACUUAGUCAACACUAUCAGGUGUGGAAUGAUGAACCCGUGCUGAGAAUUGAAGCUUUUUGUUUUAUUAUGAAUUGACAAGGGAGGUCAGGGAAGUAAAAGAGCUUUAGAAGUGGGACGGAUUUUCUUUAAUUAUGAUGCAAACACCAGUACAGAUUGACUGAGGGUAGGAAGGCCUAGGCUGAUGAUAUCAACAACACACUAGGCAGUAUUCUUGCCUCAGCCAUAAGUUUGCAGGUUCAAAUUCCCCUCCAGCAGACUAGGCCCAGAAUGCAGCCUCACAUUUUAUUGAGGGAAAGCUGUACUGUCAUCAUGACACAAGAUGUCAAACUAUAAACUUCUUGUGGAUGUAAAAAUUCCAUAAAAUGUGAAGAAAAAUGAAGCUCCAAGGUGUGUUGGU